rnacentral:rRNA from 1 species
AAGCAUAUCAAUAAGCGGAGGAAAAGAAACCAACAGGGAUUGCCCCAGUAACGGCGAGUGAAGCGGCAACAGCUCAAAUUUGAAAUCUGGCCCCAGGCCCGAGUUGUAAUUUGCAGAGGAUGCUUUUGGCGCGGUGCCUUCCGAGUUCCCUGGAACGGGACGCCAUAGAGGGUGAGAGCCCCGUACGGUUGGACACCAAGCCUUUGUAAAGCUCCUUCGACGAGUCGAGUAGUUUGGGAAUGCUGCUCUAAAUGGGAGGUACAUUUCUUCUAAAGCUAAAUAUUGGCCAGAGACCGAUAGCGCACAAGUAGAGUGAUCGAAAGAUGAAAAGCACUUUGAAAAGAGGGUUAAACAGCACGUGAAAUUGUUAAAAGGGAAGCGCUUGUGACCAGACUUGCGUCCGGUGAAUCACCCAGCUCUCGCGGCUGGGGCACUUCGCCGGCACAGGCCAGCAUCAGCUUGCCGUCGGGGACAAAAGCUUCAGGAACGUGGCUCCUCUCGGGGAGUGUUAUAGCCUGUUGCAUAAUACCCUUCGGCGGGCUGAGGUACGCGCUCCGCAAGGAUGCUGGCGUAAUGGUCAUCAGCGACCCGUCUUGAAACACGGACCAAGGAGUCAACCUUAUGUGCGAGUGUUUGGGUGUUAAACCCCUACGCGUAAUGAAAGUGAACGCAGGUGAGAGCUUCGGCGCAUCAUCGACCGAUCCUGAUGUUCUCGGAUGGAUUUGAGUAAGAGCAUAUAGGGUUGGACCCGAAAGAAGGUGAACUAUGCGUGUGUAGGGUGAAGCCAGAGGAAACUCUGGUGGAGGCUCGCAGCGGUUCUGACGUGCAAAUCGAUCGUCAAACAUGCGCAUGGKGGCGAAAGACUAAUCGAACCUUCUAGUAGCUGGUUUCCGCCGAA